rnacentral:rRNA from 1 species
ACGGAAGGCAGCAGUGAGGAAUAUUGGUCAAUGGACGGAAGUCUGAACCAGCCAUGCCGCGUGAAGGAAGAAUGCCCUAUGGGUUGUAAACUUCUUUUGCCGCAGAGUAAUAAGUGGGAUGCGUCCCAUGAUGAGAGUAUGCGGCGAAUAAGCAUCGGCUAACUCCGUGCCAGCAGCCGCGGUAAUACGGAGGAUGCAAGCGUUAUCCGGAUUUAUUGGGUUUAAAGGGUGCGCAGGCGGCACGUUAAGUCAGCGGUGAAAUGCAGGGGCUCAACCCCGGCACUGCCGUUGAAACUGGCGAGCUCGAGUACGGAUGAAGUCGGCGGAAUGUGAUGUGUAGCGGUGAAAUGCUUAGAUAUGUCACAGAACACCGAUUGCGAAGGCAGCUGACUAAUCCGCAACUGACGCUCAGGCACGAAAGCGUGGGGAUCGAACAGGAUUAGAUACCCUGGUA